CCCAGCUUGGUGUAGUGGUAGCACAUCAGUUCCUGGACCAUCAAUGUACAUACCUACCGCACAUGCGCGGAGGAUCUUGGUUCAGGGUUGGAAGGCCCGGGUUCGAUCCCUGGAGCUGGGA